rnacentral:rRNA from 1 species
GGAGUUUGGACCGUGUCUCAGUUCCAAUGUGGGGGACCUUCCUCUCAGAACCCCUACUGAUCGCAGGCUCGGUGGGCCGUUACCCCGCCGACAACCUAAUCAGACGCAUCCCCAUCCCAUAGCGAUGAAUCUUUGCUCCAACUUAGAUGCCUGCAUUGGAGAACAUAGGGAAUUAAUCCGACUUUCGCCGGGCUGUGCCCUACUACGGGGAAGGUUGGAUACGCGUUACUCACCCGUGCGCCGGUCGCCAUCACAGAUAGCAAGCUACCUGCAUGCUGCCCCUCGACUUGCAUGUGUUAAGCCUGUAGCUAGCGUUCAUC